UACGAAGGGUGCAAGCGUUACUCGGAAUUACUGGGCGUAAAGCGUGCGUAGGCGGUUCGUUAAGUCAGAUGUGAAAGCCCCGGGCUCAACCUGGGAACUGCAUUUGAAACUGGCGGGCUUGAGUGUGGCAGAGGGGGGUGGAAUUCCGCGUGUAGCAGUGAAAUGCGUAGAGAUGCGGAGGAACACCGAUGGCGGAGGCAGCCCCCUGGGCUGACACUGACGCUCAGGCACGAAAGCGUGGGGAGCAAACAGG
rnacentral:rRNA from 1 species